rnacentral:rRNA from 1 species
AGAACGAACGCUGGCGGCAUGCCUAAUACAUGCAAGUCGAACGAACACUUCGGUGUUAGUGGCGCACGGGUGCGUAACGCGUGGGAAUCUGCCCUUGGGUUCGGAAUAACAGUUGGAAACGACUGCUAAUACCGGAUGAUAUCGAAAGAUCAAAGAUUUAUCGCCCAGGGAUGAGCCCGCGUAGGAUUAGCUAGUUGGUG